GAUGAACGCUGGCGGCGUGCCUAAUACAUGCAAGUCGAGCGAACCAUUUCGGUGGUGAGCGGCGAACGGGUGAGUAACACGUAGGUAAUCUACCUAUUAGACGGGGACAACGACUGGAAACGGUCGCUAAUACCGGAUAGGACGAACGUGUAAAGAUGCUUCGGAAUCACUCAUGCAUGAGCCUGCGGGGCAUUAGCUAGUUGGAGAGGUAAGAGCUCCCCAAGGCGACGAUGCGUAGCCGACCUGAGAGGGUGAACGGCCACACCGGGACUGAGACACGGCCCAGACUCCUACGGGAGGCAGCAGAAGGGAAUCUUCGGCAAUGGACGAAAGUCUGACCGAGCAACGCCGCGUGAAUGAAGAAGGCCUUCGGGUUGUAAAAUUCUGUUAUAAGGGAAGAAAGACGUGAGUAGGAAAUGGCUCACGCGUGACGGUACCUUAUGAGAAAGCCACGGCUAACUACGUGCCAGCAGCCGCAGUAA
rnacentral:rRNA from 1 species